rnacentral:rRNA from 1 species
AGACGGAGGGUGCAAGCGUUAAUCGGAAUUACUGGGCGUAAAGCGCUCGUAGGCGGCUUGUUAAGUCGGAUGUGAAAGCCCCGGGCUCAACCUGGGAACUGCAUUCGAUACUGGCAGGCUAGAGUAUAGUAGAGGCAAGUGGAAUUCCGGGUGUAGCGGUGAAAUGCGUAGAUAUCCGGAGGAACAUCAGUGGCGAAGGCGACUUGCUGGACUAAUACUGACGCUGAGGAGCGAAAGCGUGGGGAGCAAACGGGAUUAGAAACCCGGGUAGUCC